UCCAGCUAACAUGAAGGCUGCAUGCACCUUGUGUCUGCCAAAACAGUUAAAAAACAAAGUUAAAGUUAUAAAGGAUGACAUUUUGGCAUAUUCUAUAGCUGUCCUGGCAGCAGCUGCCCUGCUGCUAAUCAUCUGAUUCCCUCCACCUGUGCCUGCUCCUAUAAAGCUCUGCCUCUGCCUUUCACUCUUGCUGGAUCGUUGCACUGCAAGCACUCAGAAGACUCACCUACUCUGUUUGUUGGCAGCAAAAUCCUGUUCUGCCAACCACUCUGUUCAACUCAAAGCCAGCAUACUCAGCCUGUGUUCCUGCAUCUGCUCUAGUCCUCAUGGUGCCUGCUCCUGUCUGCCUGCUCCUGUCUCUCUGCUGCAUCAUUUCACCCCAAGCCUCAUAAGUCUCCUCAACUUUGAUGUUUGGAGCUUUUCCCAGAGACCUCUGGUGAUUAUUUGGAUUGGAAAACAAGUUUGUCACUGAACCCCAACUUCCUGAGUUUACUGCGCCCUCCUGGCUUUCCCUCUCCUCAUUACAAUUUGUGUCUGGAGCCACGCCUUCCCUUGCUCUUCAGAGGACUCCACUCUGUCCCUGCAGUCUGUUCUCCUCAUCCCAUGUCCGUGCAUUGGCUGGGUUGUUCGACGCCAGGGGGUCCUCCAAGACAAAGGCUUAAUAAAUCUGGUUUCUUGAA